rnacentral:lncRNA from 1 species
CACUGAUCUUCCUCAUCCCUGGCAGUGACCAUCAGCGCUUCCCAGUGCUCCAACUGUGGAUGGCAUUGAGACCUGGAUCUCCACACACAGAUGCUCUUUCUGUCUGUCUCAUGGUGGGGACUGGUUCCUGCCGGAUAGAAGUGGAUGGGAACCUCUGUUCAUUUUGUCUUCAGGGAAG